UUCCUCCUGGCGUGGUGGUGUCCCGCUCACUCAUUUCCCAUCCGGCCACCAUAGCGCCGCUCCUCUCACUAGUCCACCGGAGUACGAGCGCUGAGCGGUGACCCAUCGAUUGGGUUCUUCUUUUGUUGUUCCCAUGCGGAGGCGAUGGAGCUGCAUGCCCGCACGCCGCCAGGAGUCCAAGACCUACAGCUGCCAUGAGUCUAGGAACUAGAGCCGCACGCCUGCUUGCCGCCUAGAGUCCAGGAGCAAGAGCCCAAUCCCCAAGCGGCAAGAAGAAUCCUACAUUGUUCAAGGCAUUUGUACCUUCUCAUUUGUAAUGCAUUGCUCCUUUUCCCUGUGAAGGCAACCUCAAACUUUAAUUAGCUAUACCAUGGAGAUCUAAAUCUUUGCAUCAAAAUCUGCUGAGACCACGUCAUGGGAAGCAUAUCAAAAGAGGAGCUCACUAGGACAAUCAUUG